ensembl:lncRNA
GGACCCACCGACCUGCAUGCCAGGGUUUACUUCAGCCUCAUCUGGGAAGGGAGCAGCCCUCGGGAGGCCCCUCGAGUACCCAGGAAAUGAAGAAGAGAGAAAAUGAGGCUGAGCUGCUCCGAUUGGCCCAAAGGUCCUGAGUCGGAAGAUGACAAAGAAACCCCGCCUUAGAGUCUGGACUCUGCUUCCCCAGUCCACGGCCAUGUGGCUCAGCAGCUGGCGUGGGGGCACCAGGAGGAUGGGGACCCUCCCCCUCUGGGAACUAAGGGCGGGAAGCCCACUGAGCGCUCAGGGUGUCCUGCUCCGCCCUGGAGAGAGUGGCCGGAGCCUGCACCCUGGGUUAGGGGGUGAGGCCGGGGAGCCAGGCAGGUACCAGGCCAGCUCCUGCUAGGCCGUCCUGCGGGCCAUACCUGUCUCUCACAUCACUCAGGCCUGGAGCCUCUCCCUGUGCUUCCUCUGCCAGCACAUGUGUGAGUGUGUACAUCACACACAGAUGACACGUGUGCACAGAGAGGUAUGCACACAGAGGGAUGUGCACACACACUCACACAACAUCGUAUGUUACAACGCCCUCUUACGCCUGGAGACAUUUGGGAAGGUGCUUGACUUGUUUGGUUACCCCUUUCUAACUCGCCCAUCCCCCAACUGUUCACACCUUGUCAGCCCCCAACCCCAGAGCCUCCAAGUCACCUCCCAGGUGCCACUGUCAGCCCUGACACCUCCUUCCUGGGCAGGGGCUGUGAGGGGACGCCUCCUUCCAGGACAGGGGGCACCAUCCGGGCAAUAACAUGGGCCACAGUUGCCCCAUGAUCCUCCCUACACUUUGUUGCUGUCCCAGCCGCAGGCCCGGCCCUGACACAAGCGGCUUCUCCAGCCAGCUGUGCAAAAAAGGAAUGCGUCCUCCCUGGGCCCACAGCUGGAUGGCCACAUAGCAGGCGUUCCUCCACAGCUCAGUGGUGUUACCCUGGGAUCUGAACAUGGCAAUGGCCUGGGGCCUGAUCGCGAAAAGGGAAAAGCAGUGUUACCAGGGACAUCCUCCUGGGGGUUUUAGAAUCUCCCCCUUGGAGGGGAGGAGAAGAAGAGUGAGGGAGGACUGCCGGCCCAGCCCCAUGAGUGGAGGGUGCACCGAGCCACUAACCUCUGGUCCCUGCCCACCUGGGAGCUCCUCCCUCACAGGCAGUGCCAGUCUGUGGCAGGGAUUGAAUGAGGACUCAAACCCUGCACCUGGACCAGUGACCCUGGGCAUUCUCUCUCAUCAUUGCACAACCACAGAAGCUUGUAUCUCCCUGCCAGCCUUUUAUGAGGUGCAGCCACGGGUCCUUUGCUUUCUUAUUCACCGCUGACGUCUGUACUAAUGACGACACGCUUUCGAAUGCCAGUUUGCUGACUGAAGUACUAGCUACAGGUUUGUUUUUUUUUGUUCACACCCAGAGAAUGUGUCCUGGCAAUACGCUCCUGUUGGACGUUAUUAUGCAGUGAUGCUAUAUGGCAAAUGUGCUCCAGGAAUGACACACUCACAAGGCAGUGUUUGGCCUCCUGUAAAAAAAAACCUGCAGAGACAAAUAACUAAGAAAAAAACGUGGAAGAAAGAUGUAAAGGAUUCAUGCCUUUAGUAUAUAAAGAGUUCUCAGAAUAAAUAAGCACUUCGCUACUAGGGGCCUAUCUUC